rnacentral:lncRNA from 1 species
AAAAAAAACAAAAACAAUCAAACAGUGUAAUGGGACAAAAAAUUAGGUCAAAGUUACGAGCAUCGCAAUUAUUGCUCUUAGGGUAGACUACUUCAAACCAAUACGCACAACACAAAUACUUCUCAUGGGCUGGGAUAACGUAUCUAAAUUGAAAUCAAAUCGUGCAUGACGACGUGAAUUAAUUACUCCAGAUACACGACAAAACCUUAUGCGAAAAAAAGUAAAAUAAAGUCCUGACAAAAAAAAGUAAAAUAAAGUUCCACAUUUUUAAUGGCAAUAAGAUAACAGAAAAAAUACAAUAAAAAUAAAUUCAAUUAAAUUUAAACUAUUUUUUUCAGAACAGUAAUUGAAAUUCUAAAUUAAAAAAAAAUAUUUUUUGUGUUUUCAAUACAUGUUUUACAAAUUUAAAAUGAUUAAUUGUACAUUUCAAAAGAUAUAAUUGUAUUUAUUAAUUUUUUCUUAGUUAAAAGUGUGGGAAAUAGAUAAUCACAAAAAUAAAUUAUACAUUUAUAGCUAAAAUUUAAUAUAUAUGAAAACUCUAAUACAUGUAUCAUUUUAAA